rnacentral:rRNA from 1 species
AGUGAACGCUGGCGGUAGGCCUAACACAUGCAAGUCGAACGGCAGCACAGUAAGAGCUUGCUCUUACGGGUGGCGAGUGGCGGACGGGUGAGGAAUACAUCGGAAUCUACUUUUUCGUGGGGGAUAACGUAGGGAAACUUACGCUAAUACCGCAUACGACCUACGGGUGAAAGCAGGGGAUCUUCUGACCUUGCGCGAUUGAAUGAGCCGAUGUCGGAUUAGCUAGUUGGCGGGGUAAAGGCCCACCAAGGCGACGAUCCGUAGCUGGUCUGAGAGGAUGAUCAGCCACACUGUAUCUGAGACACGGUCCAGACUCCUACGGGAGGCAGCAGUGGGGAACAUUGGACAAUGGGCGCAAGCCUGAUCCAGCCAUACCGCGUGGGUGAAGAAGGCCUUCGGGUUGUAAAGCCCUUUUGUUGGGAAAGAAAAGCAGCAGGUUAAUACCCCGCUGUUCUGACGGUACCCAAAGAAUAAGCACCGGCUAACUUCGUG